CCACGACGCCGUGCUCCACUGUCGCCUGCAACGCCCGCCGCCCCCCACCACCCUCCCUCCCUCAACGCGGUCGCGGAUCCCCAGACGACGCGCCCUCGCGACCUCUUGCCACCCCCAGCCGCCUCGCUCAAUCUCUCCAUACGACAAGCAAGAUAAGUUUUUUCUACCGGUGCCCCAAGAUUACUAAGCGGCGGCGCUCGAUUCGUGGCCGAUGGGGCUAGAUCCGACGACAGCGAAGGAGAAGGCGGCUGGAAGCGUAAGAGAAGGAGGCCGGCUCCCUCCUGCCGGCCGUCGACCGCUCCCCUGGACGCGGAGCUUCGCCUCCCCACUGCCGAGGUCCGGAGUUGGACAGCGAAGGACGAGCAGCAACUUAUCCCCUGUUUGGCCCGUGGCUGCCGACCGCGACACGCGCUCCAAGGCAGGCUGUUGAUGCGGCGCUCGACUGGCUCUGGCUGCUGCCGCAGGCUGCAGGCGCCGGGGGUACGAGGUGGAGAACUGGAGGCGCUGCACGAGAUCUACAAGAAGGUCAGCUUCUCCAUCAUAAAAUUACUCAGCGCCCAAGGCAGGUAGUGAAUGGUACCUGGGCUAUCCUACCUGGACGCCAUCCUCCUUGGAGCGAUAGGAGGGUGAGUGAAAUCAUCUGCUAAUACUCAUCUGCAUUUGCCUGUAUUGCAUUUGCUUGGGUAAGAAUCAUUGAUCUGCACCUCAAGCCUGAGACUAGGUUGCUCUGUAUCAGUGUUAGGCUUGGCGUGUUUGCCAAUCUGCGGCCAGCACUAAUAUUCGUGCUUCAGAUAACUACCUUGCUAUAUGGCUUAAGUUGCAUCCAAGGUCUUGUAUCAAUGGCAUCAGAGUGUCCCUUUGCCUGGUGGUUAGGUUCAGAUUUAGCUGUAUGUGUUGAGUAGUUUUACUGAUCUAAGGGAUAAUUGAAUGAGCAACUCCUGCUCCACUAUGCUAGGUUUCAUGAUGUCGGCCUAGUAAUCUUCAUUUGCAGGAGUUAAAGAUCUCAGUAUCCCUGUUGCUGUCACAAUUUUUACUGCAUGUUACUCCACAACACCUGAAACUUGUCUGAAGUUGCUCAUGACAAUACUUUAGCAUCAGUAGUUGCUACUGCUUAAUUGUAUCAGUAUAACUUGUUAAGGAAACCGUAACCUUGUGAACCAUUUGGAAUGCUCCCAUAAUCUUGCUCAACUGCCGUUGCUACAAGUAACAAGAUUAAGGUGUAGGAGAAAAAGAUGAAGAAGCAAGUGCAAACUUAUCUAUAUUUUCCAUGUGUUUCUUAGUGCCAGACUUUGCCAGUUAGUACUCGAAUUUUACCUAGUGAUGACAGGCUACCAAUGCCUGCUUGUAUGACUUGAGUUAUUUCUUGAAUUUCUGUGCUAGACUAUGGCUAGAGCUAUGACUGUAGCAUAAUGGUUCAGAAUUAGAACGUGGAAGUCUGAAACAUACAUUUCAGUUCAAUCUGGGAAGACCGAUUCUAAAUAUAGGAAGGUACCGAUUCAAAAUAUACAUACUUGCCUACUUGGUGAGGCCUGCCUAACUAGUUUAUUGCAAUAGCCGUGGUGGAAACUGGAGAAGUGGCUCGGUGCUGAUAUGAGCGGGGAGAAGAGACGGAGCACGCUCUGCCAUAGUAGGGGAGAUAGAGCCUUGUGACCCCGAUGAACCACGGGCAUGUGAUGCUAGAUGCAAUGGUGGCUUGAUGACUACACCAUACUGAUCUGAUUGGUGGUGCUGCUCUUUGUUUAGCUGCUGCUCUCUGUGCGAGGAGCACCUAGACAUCGAGGUGAUGGGUGAGGAAGACCCUGGGCGCCGAUGGUCGACGAAGAGGCGAGGGCCACCUGGGCGAGGGGAUCUCAUCCUCCAGGAUCACCUGGGCGAGGAGCUACAUGGGCCGGAGAUCCAGGAGCACUUGGGCGGCUGGAGAUCUUCCUCCAGGAGCACUUGGGCGAGGAGCUGCCUGGGUCGGAGGUGUAGGGACGGAGGAGUAGUUGGGGCCGGAGGAGGAGCUGCUGAGGCUGGAGGUGGUACCGCCGGCGAGGGUGAGGGCGGAGGAGGCGGAGGGC